UACGUAGGCAGCAAGCGUUGUUCGGAGUUACUGGGCGUAAAGAGUGCGUAGGCGGUGUCGAAAGUUUGGCGUGAAAUCUCCCGGCUUAACUGGGAGGGUGCGCCGAAAACUGCGAUGCUGGAGUGUGGGAAAGGCAAGCGGAAUUCCUGGUGUAGCGGUGAAAUGCGUAGAUAUCAGGAGGGACACCGAUGGCGAAGGCAGCUCGCUGGGACGGUACUGACGCUGAGGCGCGAAAGCGUGGGGAGCAAACAGG
rnacentral:rRNA from 1 species